UUAGUGGAAGCGUCUGGAAAGGCGCGCGAUACAGGGUGACAGCCCCGUACACAAAAGCGCAUGUGCUGUGAGCUCGAUGAGUAGGGCGGGACACGUGGUAUCCUGUCUGAAUAUGGGGGGACCAUCCUCCAAGGCUAAAUACUCCUGACUGACCGAUAGUGAACCAGUACCGUGAGGGAAAGGCGAAAAGAACCCCGGCGAGGGGAGUGAAAAAGAACCUGAAACCGUGUACGUACAAGCAGUGGGAGCCCCACCACCAAAGCAUUCUCUGGUGUUGAAGGCCCUGCAAAGCAGCAUCGCGGUGGCGGAGCGUCGUUUGCGACGCCCAACACACAAAACAAGCGGUGAGUGCUUUGGGGUGGGGUGACUGCGUACCUUUUGUAUAAUGGGUCAGCGACUUAUAUUCUGUAGCAAGGUUAACCGAAUAGGGGAGCCGGAGGGAAACCGAGUCUUAAUUGGGCGUUAAGUUGCAGGGUAUAGACCCGAAACCCGGUGAUCUAGCCAUGGGCAGGUUGAAGGUUGGGUAACACUAACUGGAGGACCGAACCGACUAAUGUUGAAAAAUUAGCGGAUGACCUGUGGCUGGGGGUGAAAGGCCAAUCAAACCGGGAGAUAGCUGGUUCUCCCCGAAAGCUAUUUAGGUAGCGCCUCGUGAAUUCAUCUCCGGGGGUAGAGCACUGUUUCGGCUAGGGGGCCAUCCCGGCUUACCAACCCGAUGCAAACUGCGAAUACCGGAGAAUGUUAUCACGGGAGACACACGGCGGGUGCUAACGUCCGUCGUGAAGAGGGAAACAACCCAGACCGCCAGCUAAGGUCCCAAAGUCAUGGUUAAGUGGGAAACGAUGUGGGAAGGCCCAGACAGCCAGGAUGUUGGCUUAGAAGCAGCCAUCAUUUAAAGAAAGCGUAAUAGCUCACUGGUCGAGUCGGCCUGCGCGGAAGAUGUAACGGGGCUAAACCAUGCACCGAAGCUGCGGCAGCGAGGGAAACGGGUUAAUAUUCCCGUACUUGGUGUUACUGCGAAGGGGGGACGGAGAAGGCUAUGUUGGCCGGGCGACGGUUGUCCCGGUUUAAGCGUGUAGGUGUGUGUUCCAGGUAAAUCCGGUUCACUUUAACACUGAGGCGUGACGACGAGGCACUACGGUGCUGAAGCAACAAAUGCCCUGCUUCCAGGAAAAGCCUCUAAGCAUCAGGUAACAUCAAAUCGUACCCCAAACCGACACAGGUGGUCAGGUAGAGAAUACCAAGGCGCUUGAGAGAACUCGGGUGAAGGAACUAGGCAAAAUGGUGCCGUAACUUCGGGAGAAGGCACGCUGACACGUAGGUGAAGUGAUUUACUCACGGAGCUGAAGUCAGUCGAAGAUACCAGCUGGCUGCAACUGUUUAUUAAAAACACAGCACUGUGCAAACACGAAAGUGGACGUAUACGGUGUGACGCCUGCCCGGUGCCGGAAGGUUAAUUGAUGGGGUCAGCGCAAGCGAAGCUCCUGAUCGAAGCCCCGGUAAACGGCGGCCGUAACUAUAACGGUCCUAAGGUAGCGAAAUUCCUUGUCGGGUAAGUUCCGACCUGCACGAA
rnacentral:rRNA from 1 species